AUUGAACGCUGGCGGCAGGCCUUACCCAUGCCAUUCGAGCGGAGCUGCGGACGGGUGCGUAAUGCCUAUGAAUCUUCCUGGUAGUGGGGUAUAACGUCCGGAAACGGGCGCUAAUACCGCAUACUAUCAGAUGAGCCUAGGUCGGAUUAGCUAGUUGGUGGGGUAAAGGCCUACCACGGCCACGAUCCGUAACUGGUCUGAGAGGAUGAUCAGUCACCCUGGAAGGGAGACACGGUCCAGACUCCUACGGGAGGCAGCAGUGGGGAAUAUUGGACAAUGGGCGAAAGCCUGAUCCAGCCAUGCCGCGUGUGUGAAGAAGGUCUUCGGAUUGUAAAGCACUUUAAGUUGGGAGGCGUUACCAACAGAAUAAGCAACGGCGAACUACGGGCCAGCCGCCGCGGUAAUAC
rnacentral:rRNA from 1 species